GAUGAACGCUGGCGGCGUGCCUAAUACAUGCAAGUCGAGCGAACAGACGAGAAGCUUGCUUCUCUGACGUUAGCGGCGGACGGGUGAGUAACACGUGGAUAACCUACCUAUAAGACUGGGAUAACUUCGGGAAACCGGAGCUAAUACCGGAUAAUAUAUUGAACCGCAUGGUUCAAUAGUGAAAGACGGUUUUGCUGUCACUUAUAGAUGGAUCCGCGCUGCAUUAGCUAGUUGGUAAGGUAACGGCUUACCAAGGCAACGAUGCGUAGCCGACCUGAGAGGGUGAUCGGCCACACUGGAACUGAGACACGGUCCAGACUCCUACGGGAGGCAGCAGUAGGGAAUCUUCCGCAAUGGGCGAAAGCCUGACGGAGCAACGCCGCGUGAGUGAUGAAGGUCUUCGGAUCGUAAAACUCUGUUAUUAGGGAAGAACAAAUGUGUAAGUAACUGUGCACGUCUUGACGGUACCUAAUCAGAAAGCCACGGCUAACUACGUG
rnacentral:rRNA from 1 species